AGAUAGCAUGGAGCGGCUCCGUGGCCCUGCCGCGUCCCAGAAGGGUCUCCUGGGGACUGGGGGAACAGGGUCAGCCACCCGGCCCUGUGGACUCCCUUCUUCCUCGGGCUGCCGCUUUGUUAACGUGGCGCUGCUGGAUGCUGUUGCAUGCCCUGAGGAGGAAGGGUCUUCGGAGGCUGUAUGCCCCAGGGAGGAGGAAGAGGAGGAGGAAGAAUACAGGAGACCUGUCACCUUCACACUGGGAAAUGAGAUACUGGGGCUGGGCCCAGAGACAGAGUUUCAGACCCCUGAUGCUGAGGUCUACAUGCACUUCUUGAGGAGCCACUGCUGUUACGAUGCCAUCCCCACCAGCUGCAAGCUUGUUGUCUUUGACAUCUCCCUGGAGCAGAUCAAGAAAGCCUUUUUGGCACUGGUGGCCAAUGGGGUGCGUGCUGCCCCUCUCUGGGACAGCAAGACACAGAGCUUUGUGGGGAUGCUCACCAUCACCGACUUCAUCAACAUCCUCCACCGCUACUACCGCUCACCUUUGGUUCAGAUCUACGAGGUGGAGGAGCACAAGAUUGAGACCUGGAGAGAGGUGUACCUGCAGGGCUCCCUCAAGCCACUGGUCUACAUCUCUCCGAGCAAUAGCCUCUUCGAUGCUGUCUACUCCUUGAUCAAGCACAAAAUCCACCGCCUGCCUGUCAUUGAGCCUGUCUCGGGCAAUGUCCUGCACAUCCUGACACACAAGCGCAUCCUCAAGUUUCUCCACAUCUUUGAUUCGACCAUCCCCAAACCACGCUUCCUGAAGAAAACAGUGCAGGAACUGUGCAUUGGCACCUUCCGUGAUCUGGCUGUCGUGCCUGAGACUGCCCCAAUCUACACUGCCUUGGAGAUUUUUGUGGAUCGCCGUGUCUCCGCCUUGCCUGUCAUCAAUGAUGCUGGGCAAGUGGUUGGCCUGUACUCACGGUUUGAUGUCAUUCACCUGGCAGCCCAGAAGACCUACAACAACCUGGACAUCAGUGUGAAGGAGGCACUGCAGCAACGCAGUGUCUGCCUGGAGGGGGUCCUCACCUGCUACCCGCAUGAACCUAUGGAGGACAUAAUCGACCGCAUUGCCAAGGAGCAGGUCCAUCGCCUGGUUCUGGUGGAUGAGAACCGGUACCCGCGGGGCAUCGUCUCCCUCUCUGACAUCCUGCAGGCCCUUGUGCUCACUCCUGCAGGUAUCGAUGCUCUUAACUCUUAGCGCACGGUGCUCCAUCUUUCUCCACUUGCACCCUCAGUUUCUCUCCACUUCAGAGAUAGGGCUCACUCCCAGGCGGCACUGCAACCACACUUCUUGGCCACCUGCAGCUGGCUCUGCUCACCCAUUGCCUGGUGAAUCCUUACUGGCUAUGGGUGGGCAUGUUCCUGGUACCCACAGUGGCACCUCUUUAGGGCUGAAAUGAAGAGGGGGGAGCUGGCUCCAGUUCCCAUCUGCUUCCCAAAGGUAAUUACACUUUUUGGGGUUGGGCAGUGGGUUGGGAUAGGUCUCUGCCUACUACUUAGGCAGCAGACUCCAGCAGACCCCAGCAGUGCCCAGCUGCUUUUCACAGAAGGGGACUGGGAAUGGUGUGUGUUAGCCCCAUAUGGGAUACCCCCUUGCCCCCUCCCCUGACUGACUUAGCUCACCCCAUCCCUGGUGCCUACAGGGGUGGUUGUGUCAGGAGCUGCAGGGGACCACUGAGAUGUCCCUCUCCAGACAAACUGCCCUCCCUCCUACCCCAGGGCUUGCAUACAAGCAAGGACGGAGGAGAGACCCCAGUGCCCCCUGGGAUGGUUGGAGGGUGCCCAGUCCAGCACUGAUUUGGGGUUAUGGUCUCACACGCUCCCUUGCCCCACAGGCAUCGAUCGAUCCUCACUCUGAAGACACCAGGGAAAUGCCACUGUCUUGUCUGACUCGGGGAUCUCUUGCGUGACCUGUGAGAAGGAGGCCUGGGCCUGAAGGCUCUCUGUGGGGAGGACAUGCGUGUUCACCCCAGUCCUCGGGCUCGUCUUGAGUCCAGGGCUAGAUCCUGCUGGUCCUGGAGAGGCAGAAACACUGAAAAUGGGACCCGGGGGUGCCUCCUGCCAGUGAGCACACAGUGAUGCUCAGUGGGCGCUGUGCUGGAGGGGCUGCAACAUGCCUGCAGCUGGGCAGAGACCCGUAUAGCCCCGGAGGACCUGGCCACCCCUCUGCCAUCCUGCUAAUGGAUUUGAGCGUCUCUAUUGUGGCUCCCUCCUAGUGAACACGGUCCCGCCCGGUGUCUGGUAGCAUGCCCGGUGCCUGGUAGCGUAGGCUCAGCUGCACACACAGGCUUUUUUAUUUCAGGAUCACACAGAGCUGGAACUCUCUGGCAGAGGCACAGUCUGUGCCAGAGCAGGCAGCAGGAUGGGCACUUGCAUGGAGACCCUCUGCACGUUUUGGGGUGGGCAGGGGAUAUUUAUUUAUUUGUUAGUCUG